GGGAUAAACGCUGGCGGCGUGCCUAACACAUGCAAGUCGAACGUCUCUUCUUUCGGGAAGAGGAGUGGCGGACGGGUGAGGAACACGUGGGAACCUGCCCUUUAGUGAGGAAUACCGGCGAGAAAUCGCCGACAAGACCGCAUAGCCCUCUUUGACGAGAGUCAAAGAAGGAAAGCUUCGCAAGAGGCGCUAAAGGAGGGGCCUGCGUCCGAUUAGCUAGUUGGUGGGGUAAGAGCCUACCAAGGCGUCGAUCGGUAGCUGGUCUGAGAGGACGAUCAGCCACACUGGGAUUGAGAACGGCCCAGACUCCUACGGGGGGCAGCAGUGAGGAAUUUUCGGCAAUGGGGGAAACCCUGACCGAGCAACGCCGCGUGCAGGAAGACGGCCUUCGGGUUGUAAACUGCUUUCUUUGGGUACGAGAACGGACGGUACCAGAGGAAUCAGCCCCGGCUCACUACGUGCCAGCAGCCGC
rnacentral:rRNA from 1 species